rnacentral:rRNA from 1 species
UACGUAGGGGGCGAGCGUUGUCCGGAUUUAUUGGGCGUAAAGAGCGUGUAGGCGGCCUGAAAGGUCCGCUGUGAAAACUCGAGGCUUAACCUCGAGACGUCGGUUGAAACCAUCUGGCUAGAGUCCGGAAGAGGAGUGUGGAAUUCCCGGUGUAGCGGUGAAAUGCGCAGAUAUCGGGAAGAACACCCGUGGCGAAGGCGGCCUGCUGGGCUAUGGCUGACACUGAGGCGCGACAGCGUGGGGAGCAAACAGG